GCAGUUNNNNNUGUCAGUCUUGAGUACAGUAGAGGUGGGCGGAAUUCGUGGUGUAGCGGUGAAAUGCUUAGAUAUCACGAAGAACUCCGAUUGCGAAGGCAGCUCACUGGACUGCAACUGACACUGAUGCUCGAAAGUGUGGGUAUCAAACAGGAUUAGAUACCCUGGUAGUCCACACAGUAAACGAUGAAUACUCGCUGUUUGCGAUAUACAGUAAGCGGCCAAGCGAAAGCAUUAAGUAUUCCACCUGGGGAGUACGCCGGCAACGGUGAAACUCAAAGGAAUUGACGGGGGCCCGCACAAGCGGAGGAACAUGUGGUUUAAUUCGAUGAUACGCGAGGAACCUUACCCGGGCUUAAAUUGCAGUGGAAUGAUGUGGAAACAUGUCAGUGAGCAAUCACCGCUGUGAAGGUGCUGCAUGGUUGUCGUCAGCUCGUGCCGUGAGGUGUCGGCUUAAGUGCCAUAACGAGCGCAACCCUUAUCUUCAGUUACUAACAGGUCAUGCUGAGGACUCUGGAGAGACUGCCGUCGUAAGAUGUGAGGAAGGUGGGGAUGACGUCAAAUCAGCACGGCCCUUACGUCCGGGGCUACACACGUGUUACAAUGGGGGGUACAGAAGGCAGCUAGCGGGUGACCGUAUGCUAAUCCCAAAAUCCUCUCUCAGUUCGGAUCGAAGUCUGCAACCCGACUUCGUGAAGCUGGAUUCGCUAGUAAUCGCGCAUCAGCCACGGCGCGGUGAAUACGUUCCCGGGCCUUGUACACACCGCCCGUCAAGCCAUGGGAGCCGGGGGUACCUGAAGUACGUAACCGCAAGGAUCGUCCUAGGGUAAAACUGGUGACUGGGGCUAAGUCGUAACAAGGUAACC
rnacentral:rRNA from 1 species